rnacentral:rRNA from 1 species
ACUAUUGGAAACGAUAGCUAAUACCGCAUAACAGUAGAUAUCGCAUGAUAUUUGCUUGAAAGGUGCAAUUGCACCACUACCAGAUGGACCUGCGUUGUAUUAGCUAGUUGGUGAGGUAACGGCUCACCAAGGCAACGAUACAUAGCCGACCUGAGAGGGUGAUCGGCCACACUGGGACUGAGACACGGCCCAG